UACGAGGGGGGCGAGCGUUAUUCGGAAUUACUGGGCGUAAAGGGCGCGUAGGCGGUUUGCUAAGUUGGAUGUGAAAACUCUGGGCUUAACCCAGAGCCUGCAUCCAAAACUGGCAAACUUGAGUACUGGAGGGGAAAGCGGAAUUCCUGGUGUAGCGGUGAAAUGCGUAGAUAUCAGGAGGAACACCGGUGGCGAAGGCGGCUUUCUGGACAGUAACUGACGCUGAGGCGCGAAAGCUAGGGGAGCAAACAGG
rnacentral:rRNA from 1 species